rnacentral:lncRNA from 1 species
GGAUGGAGGAGGGUGGAGCAGUGAGCACACAGCUGGUGGGUCUGAACUGAGGGAAGAUAAAUUCCCUCAAUUCAUGGGGUGGCUUGAAGACUAACUUGGGAAUGGAAGGGGCAAUGUCAGAGUCAAGCCCACCCAACUCUUCUGCAUCUAUAGUGAGCAACGUCUGCAGUGCAGUAUCUGGAAGGACCGGUCCUGGCCGGCUGUAUGUCCAACACGUGAACACCUUGCAGAUCGCAAAGGCCUAUUUGCCAACUGUCACUAUCCCUUGGACUUAGAGUGACACUGGAAUGGGAAACCACUCCUUAGGUCCUUCAGCUCCUUCCGGCCAGCACGAAGCAGGCUGUGUCUUGUUACCGUGAAGGAGUGUUAAGAGCACCCUGGAGACCAAGCUGAAGAAGGUGACAAGAGCCUAUGCACAGAUCUCCUCAAACAGCAGGUUUGGGGACAGAGGCCCUCACGGGUGGAGAUUCUGAGAGUCCAUGUGACAGAGCCUCACAGGCUAGUCUGCAUUAGGCCUCUGUGUGUGGACCCAAGGACAGGGACGGACAGCUUCUGCCAGCUGCCUGUCAUGCGCCCGUGUUUCCUUGUGUGUCCUAUGGCACAAAGCUUACACCCUGGCUCUCCUCCCAUCUCCCAACACACCCUGAGCAAAGACUGCCUCCGCUCUUUGUUGUGUUCAAGGAGACCUGAGCCAAAAUGAAGCAUCCCACAUCUGGAAGCUGCUAUUCCUUAAGAAGUGAGCGUCCUGCCAGACACUGGUGGUACACGCCUUUGACCCCAGCACUCAGGAGGCAGAAGCAAGAGGAUCUCUGUGAGUUCAAGGCCAGUAUGGUCUACAGAGCUAGUUCCUGGAAGCCAGGGCUACACAGAGAAACCCUGUGUACAUGUGAGCUACCCACAUGGCAGGUCACAAUCAUCUGAAACUCCAGUUGUAGGGGGAUCCUAAGGACCCCUCUGUCCUCCGUGAGCACCAUGCACUCACGUGGUCCGUAGACAUACAUGCCAGCAAACACCCAUGCAUAUAAAGGAAAUCUUUAGUAGGAUAUAAGGAUCCUUUCUCAUAUCUCCUUUCUUCCCAGUGAUCGGAACUUCAAGAUCAUGGGUCAAGGUCAUAGAUAGUGCCAGCAGCUGGACUGGGGCAGGACAAGAGCUGAGGGAACACAGCCAGAACUGAGAGGCUACAGACGAAAUAGCCGCCUCCGCUCCCUCCUCCUCCUCCUCCUCCUCCUCCUCUUCCUCCUCCUUCCUUCUCUGUAUGGCAAGGUCUCCUUGGCUCUGGGCUAGAUUUGAACUUGCUAUAGAGCUAAGAAUGACCUUGAACUUCUGUCGCUCCUGCCUUCACAUCUUUUUUUUGGGGGGGGGAGGUUGUUUGUCUGUUUGGUUUGGUUUUUGGUUUUUUGAAACAGGGUUUCUCUGUGUAGCCCUGGCUGUCCUGGAACUUACUCUGUAGACCAGGCUGGCCUCGAACUCAGAGAUCCACCUGCCUCUGCCUCCCGAGUGUGGGAUUAAAGGCGUGCGCCACCACUGCCCAGCAUGCCUUCACAUC